rnacentral:tRNA from 1 species
UCCCCAGCAGUUCAGUGGUUAAAACUCAGGGGCUUUCACUGCUGUGGGCCAGGUUCAAUCCCUGGUUGGGGAG